UUUUUUUUUUUUUUUUGGUUGGUCCAUAAAGCAUUUUAAGAGCAACGUAACUGAAGUGACUUUGUCCAUAACAUUCAUUUAAAUGGUAUUUACGGGGGAGGUAGUCAACACAAAAAGAAGGUCCCAGCUUUCCAGGCACUUAUGUCUAAACUAUAAGGAGGAAAGUAUAAAGACAUCAUAUAAGCACAUAUUAAUCGUAUUUACUAAAGAAAAGCAAGAGUAAUGGAAAUUUCUCAGAAGGGGAGUUAAUCAGGUAAACAUUUUGCAAAGAAUAUGGAGCUGGCCUUUGAAACAGUGAUAGGUGUUAAAGACUGAAAGUGUUCCAGGUCAGUGUGGGUGUUGAAGGAGGAUGUAACUUUUUGCUGGUGUUCUUAUGUAUUUGAGAACAGUUCUCACUCAGGACAUUGCAACUCAAAACAAAGCCCUAAUUAUAAGCAGCCAAGACUUUUUACCAAAGAUUGGACUCCUAAUUCCCUUGCAAGACUACUGAAUUUCUUCCUCAUUUCUAUCAUGCACAUUUUUUAUUCCCUUUCAUAAUUUUCCCAUUUCUUUGAAUCUCUGUCAAAGACUCUCAUCUACUUUAGGGAAUACAAAUAGGUAAAUCCCUCAACUAUACUACAUGCAGAAAGUAAAAAUAUUAUAAAAUAUCUAUGGGAUUAAAAAAAAAAAAAAAAAGACCGGGAGAUGCUGCCUUUAAACAUACAUGGUAUGCAUUUUAAUCUUUUUAAAAAAAUGUCACUUGUAACAGAUUUUUCAUACUGUAACAGAAACUGGAAUAUUAAAGGAUAUUAACCGAGGGUUAUUUUCAACUUGUCAAAUGCCAAAUAAGGAACCCCAUGAUCUUUUAAAAAUCAUAAGCAGGUAACGAAUACGGACUGUGAUUUCCUUUCGUGGUUUUACUCUGGCAGGAAUGGAUUCCACCCUGAUAAUAAUUCCUGUCUUACUGUCACAUGGAGGAGAGGCUUUGUGAACCUCAAGGAGGCUGCCAGGUUUAGGACGGAUGUAAGAACCAAAGUGUCAGAAAUGAAAGAGUAAGACUUCACACAGUGUGUUGUCACUGACAGACUGAUAGCCAGGUUCCUUCUCCACCUUUUCUUCCUCAAGGAUAGCAGCUGCUUCCCGCAGAUACACAAGCAGAACGACUCCAGUCCUUCUCUACCACGCUUAGCAUCUGCAGAUGCCCUGGGGCUUGUCUAUUUACAGCGUCAUCCCUAUCCAGCAGAGGUAGGACCCUCGGGGAAGUUCUGGAUGGAUUCUCAGCAGGUCUGUCUCACAAACUAUCUCCCAGCCCCACCCCACCGCCUGCUGCUUCCAAGGUCCUUUCUCUUGUCUGUCACAUUAUUAUUCAUCUCUCCCCAAGAGAAAAUUUAAGAGUCAAAAACAACUCAUACACUCAGUCUCUAGCCCCUUUUCUAAUAUAAAGCAAUUGCCUUGUGGAUGCUUCUUUGCGGAUGGCUCAGAAGUGGUUCCAAGGGCCCAGCGACCAUUCGUGGAUUGGCUGCCAUGCUCUCCAGGUACCCUGACAAGCA
rnacentral:lncRNA from 1 species